GUGCUUGCUUUGGCAGCACAUAUACUAAAACUGGAAUGAUUCAGGGAAGAUUAGCAUGGCCCCUUUGCAAGGAUGACACAUGAAUUUGUAAAGCCUUCCAUAUUAAA
ensembl:snRNA U6 U6 spliceosomal RNA